rnacentral:rRNA from 1 species
GACGAACGCUGGCGGCGUGCUUAACACAUGCAAGUCGAACGAAGUGGCGAACGGGUGAGUAACGCGUAAUCAACCUGCCCUUCAGAGGGGGACAACAGUUGGAAACGACUGCUAAUACCGCAUACUGAAGGAGGGGAUUGCGUCUGAUUAGCUAGUUGGGGGGGUAACGGCCCACCAAGGCGAAGAUCAGUAGGCCGGCUGAGAGGGUGAAGGGGCAACUUUGGGCUGAGGCCCCGCCCAGACCUCCACGGGAGGCAACCGUGGGGAAUCUUCCGCAAUGGACGAAAGUCUGACGGAGCAACGCCGCGUGAGUGAUGACGGCCUUCGGGUUGUAAAGCUCUGUUAAUCGGGACGCGGUACCGGAAUAGAAAGCCACGGCUAACUACGUGCCAGCAGCCGCGGUAAUUC